GUUUGCAUGGCUACUGAGCAUUACUGAUAGGACCCGAAAGGUGGUGAACUUUGCCUGCACAGGUUGAAGUCAGGGGGAAACUCUGAUGGAGGACCGUACGGGUUAUUGAUGUGCAAAUCAUUUUUCUGAUGUAGGUAAAGGUGCGAAAGACUCAUCGAACCACCUAAUAGCUGGUUUCCUCCGAAGUUUCCCUCAGGAUAGCUGUAAUGCAUUUAGUUAAGGGGAGUAGAGAUAUGGGUAGAGGUGCAGGGAGCCUUCGGGUUCUCAACUUAUUUCCAAACUUCGAACCUCCUUGUUAGGCAUUUACCUAACUGGAAAUGCUUAAAUGAAUUAGCGUUACAAGUGGGCUCUGACCGGUAAGCGGUCAUGGCGAAAUGGGAUGAACCAUACGUCUGAAUAAGGUGCCGAAAUGUACUAUCACUGAUACCAUAAAGGGAGUCCAUGUAUUUAGACAGCAGGUCGGUGCCCCUAAAAGCAGGUAUCCGCUAAAGAGUGUGUUAAAACUCACCUGCCGAAUACUAGGGCCCCGAAAAUGAAUGGCGCAUAUAGUACUACCGAUCUCAGACAUCAGUUCUAUUGAACUGAGAGUAGGGGGAUGUGGACAUUUUUGUGAAGGUGCAAUGUGAGUUGGACUGGAAGAAUGUCUAUUACAGAUCCUAAUUGAAGUAGCGAUUAUCCAGGCUUGUAUCCUGGGGGCUGAUGAGGAGUAGGGUUUCUGGACAACUUAAACAGAUCCAGAGUUAGUCGAUCCUAAUCUCAAUAAUGGGAGAAAGGGAGUACAGUUGAUAUUCUGUAACUGACAACAGUUCGCGGCAACGCAUACUAUUUUUCUCCGCCAAUCUUAUACCGUUGGUAGGGAUCUCUUUCCUACAUGACAGUACUAAUACCCAGGGAAACUGGUCAUC
rnacentral:ncRNA from 1 species